rnacentral:tRNA from 1 species
UUAGUAUAGUUUAAUAAAACAUUAGGCCGUGGCCCUAAAAAUAGAAGCUUAUUACUUCUUACAAACCAA